AGUGAACGCUGGCGGUAGCCCUAACACAUGCAAGUCGAACGGCAGCACAGUAAGAGCUUGCUCUUACGGGUGGCGAGUGGCGGACGGGUGAGGAAUACAUCGGAAUCUACUUUUUCGUGGGGGAUAACGUAGGGAAACUUACGCUAAUACCGCAUACGACCUACGGGUGAAAGCAGGGGAUCUUCGGACCUUGCGCGAUUGAAUGAGCCGAUGUCGGAAUAGCUAGUUGGCGGGGUAAAGGCCCACCAAGGCGACGAUCCGUAGCUGGUCUGAGAGGAUGAUCAGCCACACUGGAACUGAGACACGGUCCAGACUCCUACGGGAGGCAGCAGUGGGGAAUAUUGGACAAUGGGCGCAAGCCUGAUCCAGCCAUGCCGCGUGGGUGAAGAAGGCCUUCGGGUUGUAAAGCCCUUUUGUUGGGAAAGAAAAGCAGCAGGUUAAUACCCCGCUGUUCUGACGGUACCCAAAGAAUAAGCACCGGCGAACUUCGU
rnacentral:rRNA from 1 species